rnacentral:rRNA from 1 species
AGCAGCCGCGGUAAUUCCAGCUCCAAUAGCGUAUAUUAAAGUUGUUGCAGUUAAAAAGCUCGUAGUUGAAUUUCGGGAUCAGUACGCUGGUCGUGCCUUCGGUAUGCACUGGUUUCACUGAUUCCUCCCUUCUGAAGAACCGUAAUGCCAUUCAGUUGGUGUGGCGGGGAAUCAGGAUUGUUACUUUGAAAAAUUAGAGUGUUUAAAGCAGGCUCGCGCUUGAAUACAUUAGCAUGGAAUAAUGAAAUAGGACGUUUGAUCCUAUUUUGUUGGUUUCUAGGAUCGACGUAAUGAUUAAUAGGGAUAGUUGGGGGCAUUAGUAUUCAAUUGUCAGAGGUGAAAUUCUUGGAUUUAUUGAAGACUAACUACUGCGAAAGCAUUUGCCAAGGAUGUUUUCAUUAAUCAAGAACGAAAGUUAGGGGAUCGAAGACGAUCAGAUACCGUCGUAGUCUUAACCAUAAACUAUGCCGACUAGGGAUCGGAUGAUGUUAAUUUUUAAUGACUCAUUCGGCGCCUUAAC